rnacentral:rRNA from 1 species
ACGGGUGAGUAAUGCCUAGGAAUCUGCCUGGUAGUGGGGGACAACGUUUCGAAAGGAACGCUAAUACCGCAUACGUCCUACGGGAGAAAGCAGGGGACCUUCGGGCCUUGCGCUAUCAGAUGAGCCUAGGUCGGAUUAGCUAGUUGGUGAGGUAAUGGCUCACCAAGGCGACGAUCCGUAACUGGUCUGAGAGGAUGAUCAGUCACACUGGAACUGAGACACGGUCCAGACUCCUACGGGAGGCAGCAGUGGGGAAUAUUGGACAAUGGGCGAAAGCCUGAUCCAGCCAUGCCGCGUGUGUGAAGAAGGUCUUCGGAUUGUAAAGCACUUUAAGUUGGGAGGAAGGGUUGUAGAUUAAUACUCUGCAAUUUUGACGUUACCGACAGGAUAAGCACCGGCUAACCCUGUGCCAGCAGCCGCGGUAAUACAGAGGGUGCAAGCGUUAAUCGGAAUUACUGGGCGUAAAGCGCGCGUAGGUGGUUUGUUAAGUUGGAUGUGAAAUCCCCGGGCUCAACCUGGGAACUGCAUCCAAAACUGGCAAGCUAGAGUAUGGUAGAGGGUGGUGGAAUUUCCUGUGUAGCGGUG